GAGAAAGUACGAAAGGGCGCAUGGCGGAUGCCUUGGCUCACAGAGGCGAUGAAGGACGUGAUAAGCUGCGAUAAGCCGCGGUGAGGUGCAAAUGACCUUUGACCCGCGGAUUUCCGAAUGGGACAACCCAAUACCUUUUCAGGUAUUAUCCCGUCUUUAUUUCGGGAGGCGAACCGGGGGAACUGAAACAUCUUAGUACCCCGAGGAGAAGAAAAUAACAAUGAUUCCCCCAGUAGUGGCGAGCGACCGGGGAAGAGCCCAAACCCGCACCGUAUCAUUGCGUUGCGGGGGUUGUAGGACCACGACACGGUACAUUUAAGGCGAGCGGAAUCCUCUGGAAAGGGGAUCCGUAGAGGGUGACAGACCCGUACGCGCAGCCUUCGAUGACCCAGUGUAAUCCUGAGUAGCGCGGGACACGAGUAAUCCUGUGUGAAUCAGCCGGGCCCAUCCGGCAAGGCUAAAUACUCCUGUGAGACCGAUAGUGUACCAGUACCGUGAGGGAAAGGUGAAAAGAACCCCCAUGAGGGGAGUGAAAUAGAUCCUGAACCCAUGCGCCUUCAAGCGGUCGGAGCAUGUUAAUCAUGUGACGGCGUGCCUUUUGCAUAAUGAACCUACGAGUUGCCGUCGCCGGCGAGGUUAAGGAUGAGGACAUCCCGAGCCGCAGUGAAAGCGAGCCUGAAGAGGGCGUUUAAGUCGGCGGUGGCAGACGCGAAACCAAGUGAUCUACACUUGGCCAGGGUGAAGUCCCGGUAACACGUGAUGGAGGCCCGAACCGAUAAGCGUUGAAAAGCUUCCGGAUGAGCCGAGUGUAGGAGUGAAAGGCCAAUCAAACUUGGAGAUAGCUCGUACUCCCCGAAAGGCAUUUAGGUGCCGCGUCGGGUGUUCGCCGUGAGAGGUAGAGCGACCGGUAGGAUGCGAGGGCUUCACCGCCUGUCAAGUCCUGACGAACUCCGAAUGCUCACGGCUUGUAGCCCUGCAGUAAGGGGGCGGGUGCUAAGGUCCGUCCCCGAGAGGAGAAGAAUCCAGACCGCCGUCUAAGGUCCCGGAAUUCUGCCUGAGUUAGUCUAACGAAGUCCGGUCCCUGUGACAGCUAGGAUGUUGGCUUGGAAGCAGCCAUUCAUUCAAAGAGUGCGUAACAGCUCACUAGUCGAGGGUCCGGGCGUGGAUAAUAAUCGGGUAUAAGGCAGAUACCGAAGGCGCGGGAUAGCAAAUUAUAAAAGUAUCGGUAGGGGAGCAUUCCGUCUCCGUUGAAUGCGAGUGGUGACCCUCGCUGGAGGAUUCGGAAAAGCAAAUGUAGGUAUAAGUAACGAUAAGGGGAAUGAGAUAUUCCCCCGCCGCAAGACCAAGGUUUCCCGGGCAAUGUUGUUCACCCCGGGGUUAGUCGGUCCCUAAGUCUCAGCCGAACGGCGAAGGCGAUGGCAGACACGGUUGAUAUUCCGUGACUGCCGCACGGAGCGACGCGGUGACGGAGCAGUGAAACCGCCGCGGACAGACGGAAUUGUCCGUUGACGGGUGUAGGCGUUGAUUACGGCGGUAAAGUACACCGUAAGAGCCGACCCCUAUAGUACGGCCUCCCCCUCGGGGGCGGCCGAUAGUGCGGGUAACCAUACUCCCGAGAAAAACCGCUAAGCUUGAUCCGUGCGGCAUCCGUACCGCAAACGGACACACGUGGUCGUGUAGAGUAUACUGAGGCGUUGAGAGACUCAUGGUUAAGGAACUAGGCAAACUGGCCCCGUAACUUCGGGAUAAGGGGUCCUCGCAUUAAUGUGAGGCGCAGAGCAUAGGUCCAGGCAACUGUUUAACAAAAACACAGGGCUGUGCCAACUCGAAAGAUGACGUAUACAGCCUGACACCUGCCCGGUGCCGGAAGGUUAAGAGGAGAUGUCACCGCAAGGGAAGCAUUGAAUUGAAGCCCCGGUAAACGGCGGCCGUAACUAUAACGGUCCUAAGGUAGCGAAAUUCCUUGUCGGGUAAGUUCCGACCUGCACGAAUGGUGUAAUGAUCCGGACGCUGUCUCAACCAUGAUCUCAGUGAAAUUGUAGUAUCGGUGAAGAUGCCGAUUACCCGCGAUGGGACGAAAAGACCCCGUGAACCUUUACUGCAGCUUAGCACUGACCUCGGUCAUCCUGUGUGUAGGAUAGGCCGGAGGCUCUGAAGCCGUGUCGCCAGGCACGGUGGAGCCGACGUUGAAAUACGGCCCUCUGGCUGUCUGAGGUCUAACGCGCAUAUUAGCGCGGACACUGCUUGGCGGGCAGUUUGACUGGGGUGGUCGCCUCCAAAAGCGUAACGGAGGCUUCCAAAGGUGCCCUCGGGCCGAUUGGUAACCGGCCUUACAGAGUGCAAUGGCAUAAGGGCGCUUGACUGGGAGGGAGACAUCCCGAUCAGGCAGGAAACUGGGGCAUAGUGAUCCGGCGGUUCCGUAUGGAAGGUCCGUCGCUCAAAGGAUAAAAGGUACUCCGGGGAUAACAGGCUGAUCCCCCCCAAGAGCUCAUAUCGACGGGGUGGUUUGGCACCUCGAUGUCGGCUCGUCACAUCCUGGGGCUGGAGAAGGUCCCAAGGGUUGGGCUGUUCGCCCAUUAAAGUGGCACGCGAGCUGGGUUCAGAACGUCGUGAGACAGUUCGGUCUCUAUCUAUCGUGGGCGCAGGAGUCUUGCGUGGUGCCGUCACUAGUACGAGAGGACCGUGACGGACAGACCUCCGGUUUGCCGGUUGUGCCGCCAGGUGCACGGCCGGGUAUCCGCGUCUGGUCAGGAUAAGCGCUGAAAGCAUCUAAGUGCGAAGCCGUCCGCAAGAUUAGGGCUCCUUUGAGGGUCGUCGCAGACUACGACGUUGAUAGGGCGCAGGUGUAUAGACGGUGACGUCACAGCCGAGCGCUACUAAUUGCCCGAAACUUUCCUC
rnacentral:rRNA from 1 species